UGGUGUUUGGCAAAUGUGGAGGGGGAGACCUGAGCUGCUUGCGAGCAGCUGUUCGCAUAGUGCUUGAAUAGUGCUAGAGGAUAGGUCUGUCGUUGAAUCUUGAAAGCUCGUAGAUGUGGAGUUUUUUUUUUUUUUUCCUCCAGUCUUAGGUAAACCUUAGGAGGAACCGGUCGAAGGAGAGAGCGCCUUCUGGAACUGUCAAGCACUUGUUCGGCAGCUCAGUGACUGGCUUGGUCUACUUCUGAGGUGCCGAGGCAGGUUGUCUGCUGUUUUGAAACGAUAACAUUGGAAAUGGGGUCCCAUGUGUUGUUGAGGGAUGGGUGCUAAUGCUGGCAGCUGAAUGAUUACCUUCUAUGUUUUCAUUUGUUAAAGCUGAAACGCAGCGUACAACCUGGGACGUCACACCCAGAGCUGCCUCUGGCAAGGUGCCAUGGCAGGCUCUCCACAGAAGUGGCUGAGGAUUUGAGAUGAGGCCAGAGAGUGACAAGGAGCAGCACGUGCAGGGAUGGUUUCCAAGCGCUGCGAUUGUUUUCUCUUCUGUUUAUCAGGUGCCACAGGCAAGGUGAAGAGGUGCCUGAAGCCCCAUCCUGGCUGGCCAGCGCACACCUCGCUGAGAACGAAAGCUGCUUUCCAGUAAUUCAGAAAGCUAAGUUACGUCUCGGCCUCGAGCAUCUGGGGCGUGUGCCUGUGCUUUUGGACCUGUCUGUAGCAUUUGGCACCUGCAUUAAUACUUUCUUGGCAUAUGUGCAGGCUUUUGGGGCCUGUGUCUUGGGGGGAGGGUUGGGGCCAGUGUCUAGGGGGGGUGUGGAGCUGCUUGUACAC
rnacentral:lncRNA from 1 species